rnacentral:rRNA from 1 species
GAUGAACGCUGGCGGCGUGCCUAAUACAUGCAAGUCGAGCGAACAGACGAGGAGCUUGCUCCUCUGACGUUAGCGGCGGACGGGUGAGUAACACGUGGAUAACCUACCUAUAAGACUGGGAUAACUUCGGGAAACCGGAGCUAAUACCGGAUAAUAUAUUGAACCGCAUGGUUCAAUAGUGAAAGACGGUUUUGCUGUCACUUAUAGAUGGAUCCGCGCCGCAUUAGCUAGUUGGUAAGGUAACGGCUUACCAAGGCAACGAUGCGUAGCCGACCUGAGAGGGUGAUCGGCCACACUGGAACUGAGACACGGUACAGACUCCUACGGGAGGCAGCAGUAGGGAAUCUUCAGCAAUGGGCGAAAGCCUGACGGAGCAACGCCGCGUGAGUGAUGAAGGUCUUCGGAUCGUAAAACUCUGUUAUUAGGGAAGAACAAAUGUGUAAGUAACUAUGCACGUCUUGACGGUACCUAAUCAGAAAGCCACGGCUAACUACGUG